GAUGAACGCUAGCGGCAGGCUUAAUACAUGCAAGUCGAGGGGCAGCGGGGGUAGCAAUACCUGCCGGCGACCGGCAAACGGGUGCGGAACACGUACACAACCUUCCUAUAAGUGGGGGGAGUAGCCCAGAGAAAUUUGGAUUAAUACCCCGUAAUAUUAUUUAGUGGCAUCAUUAGAUAAUUAAAGCUCCGGCGCUUAUUGAUGGGUGUGCGUCUGAUUAGGUAGUUGGCGGGGUAACGGCCCACCAGGCCUUCGAUCAGUAACUGGUGUGAGAGCACGACCAGUCACACGGGCACUGAGACACGGGCCCGACUCCUACGGGAGGCAGCAGUAAGGAAUAUUGGUCAAUGGCGCAAGUCUGAACCAGCCAUGCCGCGUGGAGGAUGAAGGUCC
rnacentral:rRNA from 1 species